AGUGGCGAAGGCGGCUGUCUGGUCUGCAACUGACGCUGAGGCUCGAAAGCAUGGGUAGCGAACAGGAUUAGAUACCCUGGUAGUCCAUGCCGUAAACGAUGAGUGCUAGGUGUUGGAGGGUUUCCGCCCUUCAGUGCCGCAGCUAACGCAUUAAGCACUCCGCCUGGGGAGUACGACCGCAAGGUUGAAACUCAAAGGAAUUGACGGGGGCCCGCACAAGCGGUGGAGCAUGUGGUUUAAUUCGAAGCUACGCGAAGAACCUUACCAGGUCUUGACAUCUUGCGCUAACCUAAGAGAUUAGGCGUUCCCUUCGGGGACGCAAUGACAGGUGGUGCAUGGUCGUCGUCAGCUCGUGUCGUGAGAUGUUGGGUUAAGUCCCGCAACGAGCGCAACCCUUGUUACUAGUUGCCAGCAUUCAGUUGGGCACUCUAGUGAGACUGCCGGUGACAAACCGGAGGAAGGUGGGGACGACGUCAGAUCAUCAUGCCCCUUAUGACCUGGGCUACACACGUGCUACAAUGGCCGGUACAACGAGCAGCUAACCCGCGAGGGUGUGCAAAUCUCUUAAAGCCGGUCUCAGUUCGGACUGCAGUCUGCAACUCGACUGCACGAAGUCGGAAUCGCUAGUAAUCGCGGAUCAGCAUGCCGCGGUGAAUACGUUCCCGGGCCUUGUACACACCGCCCGUCACACCAUGGAAGUUUGCAAUGCCCAAAGUCAGU
rnacentral:rRNA from 1 species